GGGACAGUAAGAAGGACAAACAGUACAGAACACAGAGUUUCAUAAGAAACUAUCUUUUUGCAGUUCAACAAUAUGUUGCCAGAGUGUCAACUGCCAUUCCCUAAAAUUUCACAGGAAGUAAUGAAUAGAUACCAAGACCAGAAAUCUCUUCACUCCCAUAGCUGCUUCUCUACACGUCCUAAAGCCCCGAUCACCAUCUAAAAUUUCCAGCUCUUUGAACAAGACACUUGAAAUAUCUGAAACUGCGAGUUACGGCAAGAAUUCAGACUGAUAGACUUAGAAGGCUAUGAAGACAGAAGCUGGUGCUGCUUCUCCAAGCUGAGAAAAGGCAAACUAGGUCAUGAAGUUGAUAAAGCAAAAGGCUACCAAUCGAAUGUUAGCAGUUGCUUCUGAUACUUAAAAGCAAGAUCUGGCAGCAUUUUGUUAAAAAAUAAACUAAAAUUGGCCAAAACGCAUUCUCUUAAACGUGUAAAUGCAUCAAUUUCAACCAAAGGUGCUUCAGAAAUGUGUGUUUUUGUCAAAAUGUCUUUUUGGUUGAACAAGUCAACAGAUCAACAGAUCUCCCUAAGAAAGAGGCUGCUGUAUUUUGAUCAGUAAUCAGCACUUUGCAAUCAUUUUUUACAUCUGUUCAGUAGUGCAACAAUUAUGUGAUACUCCAGAAAUGGUAGUGCAUGUCAAAGUAUUUCAUAACUGACAUGAUAUUAAAUGUAACAAAAAUAUAAAAAAUGCAAAAUCCAAACUGCAAAUUGCAGAACAAAAUUCAAAAAUCCCAAACCCUAAGCACAAAUAUACAAUAGAGUCGAGUGACUGCAAUUUUAUAUCAAACAUCACACUGAGAUUUUAGUCUCUUAGCUCUAUUGUGGAACGUACCUCACAAUAUGUUAAUGAAAUAAUAGAGAAUUUGUUCUAAAUUUAAGGCUCAAAGGCAAAUAAUCUCAUUACAAUAAGAACCAUAUUAUAAACUCAAUGAUGUUUCUGUUGUGGCUUAUUACUUGCAUGGUGAUCUGCCUCUGUUUUUUUCUAUUUGACAAGUUUCUUCAGUGUUCACAAUUUUACUUGACCUCAUUAAAGAGUUCCUGUCUGAAAAUUCCCACCAGACACCAUGAAAAGCUUAAGCUUUGCAUGGCUUGCAAAUCUGUCCUUAUUUACAAGCAUCACAUGCCAUCAAUGCACAGCAGAUCAGUGUCCAAUUAUCCUGAAUCUUCUGAUUCUACACAAAAGGGGCUUCCUUGCUGGUUCGUGUCACAGCUUCCCUACAUGCAGUAGCACACACUACAUUCAAAAGCAAGGUCUAGGAAGUGAUGAAAUCCUUGUGGAUCUCAGAUUCUGGAAAAUCUCUCCUUUGGAGAGAACUGCCACCCGAUGUGUUUGAUGCAGAGAGAAACUCCACUGUGCCUAAAUAGAUUUUACAAGUGCAUCAUGCACUUGCUGCACAAGGAUAGUCUUGUCAUAAAAGCACAUGGUGAUAAAUGUUCCUUUCUGAUACAAGGCAGAAUCCCACCCUUGUGCAAGGCCUCAAUUUGUCUAGCUCCCUCCUAGCUCAGACAUGUCAGCCAGUGCUCUGCACAUGGACUGCAGUCAGUGCAUCACCUAUAGGAAAAAUCAACUCUAAGGAACAGUUUGAGUGCUUUUAAAUAACAUGCACAAGCAAAAGUGCUAUUGCCCCAGCAAAAAGAAAAUAGCCUAGAUAAGAGGAGAACAAGAGUAAACUGUGUGUGCCAUUUUUUUUCUGCAUGUCUAAUGAUUACUUGACAGAAAGACUGAAGACAGCUUUUCUUUACUAAGGGUAUCUAACAAGCCAUGGUUACUAAAACAACUGCUAAUUAAAUUCUCCUGAGUUUUGGAAUCAUGGUCAGACAUUGUGCAGUGAAUGAAUAAAUCAUGAAGAAGUGCAAAUUUGCAGAAUACAGUCCCAAAUUCAUAAUAAUCAUAUAGAUGGGAGAAAAGAUAGGGAAAGUAUAUUCAAACUUUCUUUCUUUCCCGAACUUCAGCACACUAGCCAAUAAAUAUGUAGUGAAGGUGUUAUUAUAUUGGAACUAAUUAUAAAACAGAGACAAUAAAAGAACAAAAAAUGUGUUAGUUGAGUCCUGAACCUGGUGUUCCUACUGUAAGCUUAAAGAGAAAUUUAUAAGGAUAAAAUGCAUGACAUUUUUUUCAGAAAAUGCCAAAGCACUUAAUUCACUUUGGGCAAACAUUCUUGUUCUCCCUCAAUAGUUUCACACAGAAGAAAGAGUGCUCAGAACUAUGGGUGACUAAACACAUAAUUAAGGCAGGCAGAAACACAGCAAGAAACUGCUGCUACAGCCGGCAAGGAGCAGGGGAAGUUCGGGCCCAAAGGAGUGAGAGGAAACACCGAGCUUCUAUUUGGGAUACAGCUCUGCUCUCUUGCUUUGUCUCCUGGUCACCAGUGGUAAACAAGGCUGGAUAGGGAACAUAGGCGCUUUGGUUCAAAGAGGACUGCUUCAUAAGGCAGUGCAGCUCCCAACAACAUUUCAGAAAACAACAGUAGUUAGAAAAAAAUCCUAAAUGGAAUAAAGAAGACUGCAAGAUAUCUAAUGAAACUCCAGUACCAAUCUGCAUUGUAUAUUUUUUGGGAAUUCCCACGUUUCAAUGAUUAUAUUUCACUGUAUACAACAGGAGAUGCAGUACAGGAAUGCUGCUGUUUUUAUACAUCUGCAUCUCUUGUUUUCUUGCUUCUAGUAGGAUGAAAAAUAAUACAAGUCCUGACUGAGCACCUUUAAGCCUGAACAUGCGGGAAUUCUUCUGUAACUAUAAAAGGCAUGUCUAAUAAUGGCUAUAACGUUUUUGCUAUUAUUGAAGUACAAGCUGAAGCAAGUUUCUUGAAGCAACGGCUUACAUAACAUACCCUCCGUUUGCAAUUGUUUUGGUUCUGUAAGCAAAAUACAGAGAUUAAAGUGAGCAAGUAUAAAAUACUGAGUAAUCAAUCAGUUAAUGUCGUGAUUGUAAUAGUAGUGGCUGUAACCCCUUCUUUUGAUUAAGCAGCAAAACAAAAAUAAAGUUUAAAUAAUAAGAUGAGAAAAAGGAAAAAAGAAGAAGCAUGACUAUGUGUGUCUAAUAACUUGAUUUGCCAAGUAAGUUUGUAAUAGUUCUUCAAAAUAAAGUAAGAAUCAUAUUGGUC